rnacentral:lncRNA from 1 species
AUGAUAAAAGAGAUGAUUUUUAAUUUCCUAUCGUCAAUUAUCCAUUUUUAGAUGGUGACGUUCCCUUGUCACCAUCUUACGGUGUUUAUAUAUCUCAACUUGUACGAUUCGCUCGUGUAUGUAACAAUGUUUUAGAUUUUAACGAGAGAAAUUUAUGUAUUACUUAAAAAUUAUUACACCAGGGUUUUGGAUAUCACAAACUAGUCAAAACAUUUACUAAAUGUUAUCAUCGGUAUAAGGAC